ensembl:snRNA U2 U2 spliceosomal RNA
AUCGCUUCUCGGGUUUUUGGCUGAAGAUCUUAAUUCAUAUCUGUUCUUAUCAGUUUAAUCGGACUCAUCCCUCCAAUGAGGGACCAUAUAUUAAAUUGAUUUUUGGAAUAGACUCGAUGGAACAAGGGACCUCCGUCCACUCCACGCAUCGACCUGGUAUUGCAGUACCUCCAGGAACGGUGCACCCUCU